AGAAUACUAUUAGCAAAGCAGAGAGCUGAAUCCUUCAAAGAACAAAAACAUGUUGAAACUGGAAUGUGAAUUGGAGCAAACCCCUAACUCACUGUCAUCAAAUCACACAAAUGACUGGAGGACGUCUUCACCAAACUGGCUGCAGUCAGUACCUCAGACCAGCAAGAGAUAUAUUAUCUUUACUUUGAACUGUUUUACAAGAGUAUGUAACCAUAUCUAACAGAUUUAUCUAAAUAAAUAUAAUCACCAGUAUCUGAUUACUUAGAGAGGCCGAGCUUUUUACAGUCGAGUUCAGUUAUGAAAGAAAUUCUGGUUUUCUGGAAAAAGUAACUGCAACAUGUUUAUCCCAACUCUCUGCAGCCGUCUGCAGCUCUGAAACAGACCGAGCCGUCUCAGAGCGUUUUUACAUCCUUGCUGUUUUGACUUUUAGUCCAACCUCAAGCCUUCAGAAAGAAGAACACGCUCAGCUGCACUGAAGUUUACCACUGGAGUGAUAAGAUACUGUCACAGUGUUUUUAUAAGCAGUUAAUAGACUUAUCCAUUUUUAAAAGCUAAUAAAAGUCAGUUAAUUCAAAUGUAAUGAAUUAUUAUUAUACAUUAUAAAAGUGAAGUUUGAAAUGUUAUUUUUAUCUGUAGUUUAAACCCACAAAGCAAAGCUGCUUCUGAAUUAUUAAGUGAUCAUUAAACGUUGUGUCACUUAAAUAUGAAUGAAUCACAGUAAAGGUCUUUUUACUCCAGUGGUUCAGUCCAGGCUUCAUACGUCUGCAGGAAUGUGACUGGUGGAGUUUGUCCUGUAGUUUGGACUCAAACAGCCGCAGCCUCAGACGGAGCAGAGUGACGAGGAAAUGUAGAGCUGGCUCCAUCAGGCUCUCCUCAGCAUGCUGAUGAUGUGCAGUCUGUCUGCGUCGUGCCGACUGACUGACACCAUGAAUCCACCUCUCUGGGGACGGGCGGGCACGGCCGAGGGGCUUCAUUUAUUAAAAUUAUCCUCUGGCUUGAUUCGAUUCUGCAAAUUGUAUUGAAGAUGACACUACAAGAAAUGGAAGUCAUUUCCUGGGUAGUGAUAGAAUUUUUUAUUGUUUCACUUAUCUCAGUAAAUCGACGCAACCUGCAGAAUUUUCUCACCAGGAUUAAUUUUUCAUCAGUCUCAGCUUUAGCUCAGAUUUGGUCGUAAAACUUUGGAUGAUUUGAAUAAACGGGGCCCUUCAGGAAAAGCUUUUCUCUUUUUUCUACUGGAAUGUUAUCAAUUUCUACCGUUUUUGUUAAAGCAGUGGUUAUGGAGCAGCACUGAAAUCCCACACUGACUCAUGUAUUGUUUUACAGUUGCACACCUAAACUGUAGUGUCAGAAUAAUAAACAGCCGUCUGGGAUACUCUC